rnacentral:lncRNA from 1 species
AUCACGUCAAAAUUACAUAUAUAUAUAUAUAAUAAAAUCCUAAAUGCAACCGUAGACGCUUAUAUAUAUUAUAUCUAUAACAAGACCAUAAACAUAUUUAUAUUAUAUAUAUACCUAUUUAUGAGUACAAUCGCUCAUGUAACUGCUCACACCUACUAAUAUACACACAAUUUCACUUAUUUGUUACGUUAAAUUUCAUAGUUUACAAUUACAACUUAUUUAUUUUAUUUAUUUUAUUCCUAUAAUUACAUGCACAUUUUAAAUUCAUGCAUUUGACUCGUUAAAAUCACACAGCAUGCAUACCCUACACUCAUACAAAAUUAUAAUAGUUUGCACCAAGAGAAAUAAAGGUACACAUAUUAAUUAAGAAGGGGUUCACAUAUGUUACUUUAGCCUGCGUACUUGAAUUUAAAUGCAGUAUAUCGGACCACUCACCUUAACAACCAUUGCUUCAACUACCAAGCUCAAGUAAGCUUUUAUUUACCUUUGUCCUUGGUUGUGGAGGCUCCCAAAUGAAUUGGCAUUUUUCAUACACAUCAAACACAUUACAAAGUCAUUACUAACAACAACAAACACCAUUAAACCAUUCCAAAAUUAUAGAUUAAAGCCUAUUAACCUCUAUACCGAAAACUUAACUAAUUUUGUCGAAAUAGGUGUUUAACCACUCAAAUCUCACUUCUAAGCUUAGAUUUCAACUUCAUACAUCCUAAAUAUCAUCUAAUUACAUAUCUAAACCAUCAAAUUCAUCCAAUUUCACUGAUCUAAUUUUUUCAGAAAAAUAAAGCUUAUGUGAUCUUUUAAAAGGGGAAAAUUUUCAAUUUGCUUAAAUUCAUUAAGGAUUUGUUAAAUUAAGAUCAAUUACCUUUUAAUUAGAUAAAAAUGAGUUAGAAAUCACUUUAAAAGCAAAGCCUAGCCAAGAAAUACAAGAUCCACCAUUUUCAAGCCAAAAAUCAACUUAAAAUCAAGUGAUAUAUUGAGAUUUUGAUUAAAUCGUUUAAAUCUCGAAUUGAAAUAACAACUCACUUAGUUUAAUCAUAAAAAGUU